rnacentral:rRNA from 1 species
CCCCUAGAUGUUCUGGGCCGCACGCGCGCUACACUGAACAGUUCGACAAGUCUUAACCUUGGCCGAUAGGUCUGGGUAAUCUUUGAACGCUGUUCGUGAUUGGGAUAGACCUUUGCAAUUAUGGGUCUUCAACGAGGAAUUCCUAGUAAACGCAAGUCAUCAGCUUGCAUUGAUUACGUCCCUGCCCUUUGUACACACCGCCCGUCGCACCUACCGAUUGAAUGGUCCGGUGAAAUCUCGGGACGGCGGCUUGGUCGCUUGCGUCCGACUGCUGAAACUUGAUUAAACCAUNUNAUUUAGNGGAAGGUGAANUCGUANCA